rnacentral:rRNA from 1 species
CCUACGGGAGGCUGCAGUCGAGAAUCUUCCGCAAUGGACGAAAGUCUGACGGAGCGACGCCGCGUGGUUGAUGAAGUACUUCGGUAUGUAAAAACCUUUUAUGGGGGAGGAAGUAAUUGACGUUACCCCAUGAAUAAGAGGUUGCUAAACUCGUGCCAGCAGCAGCGGUAAUACGAGUGCCUCAAGCGUUAUCCGGAAUUAUUGGGCGUAAAGGGUGUGUAGGUGGUCUAAUUAGUCUCACGUUAAAUAUCUAAGCUUAACUUAGGGAAUGCGAGGGAAACGGUUAGACUCGAGGAUGAGAGAGGUCUGUGGAACUCUAGGUGUAGCGGUGAAAUGCGUUGAUAUCUAGGGGAACACCAAAAGCGAAGGCAGCAGACUGGAGCAUUCCUGACACUGAAACACGAAAGCGUGGGUAGCGAAUGGGAUUAGAUACCCGGGUANUC